AAUGAUGGCCAUUCUCACAAUCACCUUAUCACCAUAGAUACUGUGGGAAGCAUUACACAGAGUGACUGUGGUGGUCUGUUCUCUUUCUUGGAACGGUGCCCUUGCCAUGUGCACACAGUCUCCUAGUGGAGAAGAGUGCAUCUGUCCAAGCUAAAGCCAUUCCAGACCAGGUGACAGCCAGCUGAUUCCAGAAUACAUGAGCACGGCCAGCCUCGGUCAGCAGCAUGGCCUCCGGUUACCACAGCUGACCACAGACUCAUCAGGAAGCUCCGUCAAGAGCAGCGGGACCACUCAGCUCACCUCUAGACACCUGAGCAAAAAUAAAACUUUAUGUUUUGAGCCUC